GUACUGUGCGAACGUUAUUCGGAAUCACUGGGCUUAAAGGGUGCGUAGGCGGUUGAUUAAGUAGGGUGUGAAAGCUCUCGGCCUAACCGAGGAAUUGCGCUCUAAACUGAUCAACUUGAGUGAGAUAGGGGUGUGUGGAACUUCCAGUGGAGCGGUGAAAUGUGUUGAUAUUGGAAGGAACGCCGGUGGCGAAAGCGGCACACUGGGUCUCAACUGACGCUGAGGCACGAAAGCCAGGGUAGCGAACGGGGGAUUAGAUACCCCGGUAGUCCUGGCUGUAAACGAUGAGUACUAGACGGGAGGGGCUUCGGCCCAUCCGGUCGCAGCGAAAGCAAUAAGUACUCCGCCUGGGGGAGUAUGGUCGCAAGGCUG
rnacentral:rRNA from 1 species